GUCCCGAGUGGCAUCAAGAAGCCACAUAAAACCCAAGAAGCUUGUGAUCCAGUGUAGAUUAAGACUUGGGGCUGCCUCUCACUCAUUCUUACACUUUAUUCUCUCUUUCUCUCAUUUUCCACCCCCCGCCAACUGUGUGGUACCUUGAGGGAGGCGCCCAAAGAUUUUCCAUAUGCUCAGAUGUCAUAGUGAGACGAGAGAUGUUAAGAGAAAUAUUUGUGCCUGGAAAGUAAUGCUGCAGCCUUCAUUUAUUAACAGUGAACAGACAAGGGCAACCCAGGAGGUCACUUACAUCAGCAGCCUCUCCAUCCGCAUAAGGUAGUGAUGGUGAUUCUGACCCAGAGAACCUUCCGGAGACCUCAGCUUAGAGCCCAGCACACAAAACACUGCUGCCAAAUCCCAACAUUCAUUAUUCACUCUUGAUUUUCACCUAUGCCUGAACUUCAAUAGCAUGCUUUGCUUUCUACAAAAGCCCAGAGGCAUGAAAUGGGUUAGCUCUUGGAAAACUGGGAGCAUAUGGAAGUUCCUGGGUGGCGAACUGAAUCUGAGGUACAGUUGUGACCUAUGCCCCACCUGUGGCAAUGCUGGAUCUUUUAACCCACUGCCCCGGGCUGAGGAUCAAACCCACACCUCUGCAGUGACCUGAACUACUGCAGUGGGAUUCUUCACUCACUGUGCCAUGGAGGUGAAACUGACAGCAUUAAUGGCCUGAACCUAGCCAGAACUCAGAUUGGGACUUGAAUCCACAUGCUGGCACUUGAACCCAGCCUAAACCCAGAAUGGGACUUAAACACCUAUGCUAGGACUCAAACCCAGACAAAACCCAGAUUGGACUUGAACCCACGUUUUAUUUCUUUAUUUAUUUUGUCUUUCUGCCUUUUCUAGGGCUGCUUCCUGCAUAUGGAGGUUCCCAGGCUAGGGGUCGAAUUGGAACUGUAGCCAUUGGCCUAUGCCAGAGCCACAGCAACGCGGGAUCUGAGCCGCGUCUGCAACCUACACCACAGCUCACGGCAAUGCUGGAUCCUUAACCCACUGAGCAAGGCCAGGGAUUGAACCUGAAACCUCAUGGUUCCUAGUAGGAUUCGUUAACCACUGCGCCAUGACGAGAACUCCAUGAACCCACAUUUUAAAUAAGAAUCACUCACUUGGUGUCUGGACUUACUGAGGUUCAGGUUUUUUUAUGCCUCCAUGCAGAAGUAAUUCAGUAAGAGACAAAGUGAUAGGCAAGAAAUAGAUAUUAAGAUAGGAUACUUGGAGAGAUGCAAGGGGCCAGCCAAAGAGGCUCUGCCUGGAGGAGUAGGGGGCUAUGGUUUUAUCAUCCAAGGGGAGUGGGGGUGGGAAAAGACACCUUGUUUCUCUUUCUUUGAGUAGUAGCUCCUCCUUGGUAUCAGGUAAGAGAGUAUUUGACCCUAUAUGGUCAAACUAGGACUGUCGUGGUGCUUAUUCAAAUCAGCAGAAAGGCUGUCCUUAAACUCCUGCUGUGGUCUGAAUCUGAAUGCAGGCCUCAACCCAUUUCCCAC
rnacentral:lncRNA from 1 species